rnacentral:rRNA from 1 species
UACGUAGGUCCCGAGCAUUGUCCGGAUUUAUUGGGCGUAAAGCGAGCGCAGGUGGUUUAUUAAGUCUGGUGUAAAAGGCAGUGGCUCAACCAUUGUAUGCAUUGGAAACUGGUAGACUUGAGUGCAGGAGAGGAGAGUGGAAUUCCAUGUGUAGCGGUGAAAUGCGUAGAUAUAUGGAGGAACACCGGUGGCGAAAGCGGCUCUCUGGCCUGUAACUGACACUGAGGCUCGAAAGCGUGAGGAGCAAACAGG